rnacentral:ncRNA from 1 species
GUGUCGGUAAGCGGAUUGUUUAUCGGCUUAAAAGGGAAGUCCGGUGAAAGCCCGGCGCGGUCCCGCCACUGUAAAUGCAGAGCAACUCUUUUAUAUGUCACUGUCUCGGCAGGGAGAUGGGAAGACGAAGAGAAGCGAUGACGCAUAAGCCAGGAGACCUGCCUGUUUCA